rnacentral:lncRNA from 1 species
GUUUCCCUUGAGUGGACUCUUUUCCUUGAUAUGCCUUUUCUAAUAGCCACAUAACACCAUCUCGAAAGGUUACAACUUUCUUCAUAUCAGCUAUGUUUCUCAUUGUGUUUUCCUGAGGUAUCCUUGAUACUCUGCGGGAAGUACCCAGGAGCAGCAAGAAACACUGAAUUUUGGAGUCUUAUCUGGAAAAGACUUGGAAUUGUAAUCCCCCACUUACUGACUGUAAGAGCCUUGGAUCUGUUCCUGAAAACAUGGUGUUCAAGUUGAACAUAUGAAAACAGAACUUCUUUCUUCUUCAAUGGAAGUGACACCUAACAAUUUGGAUUUAGAUUUCUCUGCCUCUUACAUCUACUGCUUGAUAAUGUAGAAACCAACAUUCAAAUCCAGGGAAGCAAAUCCUUUUUUAAAAGAUUUGAUUAAAUUAUCUGAGGAUAAAUUGUGCCUUGUUUUUUAUUUUUAACUAUAUUUUUGAGAGGGAGCUUCACAAACUCUUUAUUAUUCCCUUAAGAUCCAACUUUUGGUUCUUAUGACAUCAGUUUCAGAUGAGGACGCACAAGUCACUGUUCCCAUUACUAUAUUGGGAGGGUGGGGUUCUGAAAAUGUGCAAUGUGAGU